GAUGAACGCUGGCGGCGUGCCUAAUACAUGCAAGUCGAGCGAAGCGGGGACGGGUGAGUAACGCGUGGAUAACCUCCUAUAAGACUGGGCUAACUUCGGGAAACCGGAGCUAAAACGGAUACUUAUAGCUGGAUCCGCGCUGCAUUGGCUAGUUGGGAAGGUAACGGCGUACCAAGGCAACGAUGCAUAGCCGACCUGCGAGGGUGAUCGGCCACACUGGAACUUGGGCACGGUCCAGACUCCUAAGGGAGGCAGCAGUAGGGAAUCUUCCGCAAUUGGCGGAACCCUGACGGAGCAACGCCGCGUGAGUUAUGGAGGUCUUCGGUGCGUAAAACUCUUUUAUUAGGGAAGCGGUACCUAAUCAAAAAGCCACGGCUAACUACGUGCCAGCAGCCGCGGUAAUAC
rnacentral:rRNA from 1 species